CGAAAAUGUACCGGGGCUAAACAUAUUACCGAAGCUGUGGAUUGUCCUUUGGACAAUGGUAGGAGAGCGUUCUAAGGGCGUUGAAGCAUGAUCGUAAGGACAUGUGGAGCGCUUAGAAGUGAGAAUGCCGGUGUGAGUAGCGAAAGACGGGUGAGAAUCCCGUCCACCGAUUGACUAAGGUUUCCAGAGGAAGGCUCGUCCGCUCUGGGUUAGUCGGGUCCUAAGCUGAGGCCGACAGGCGUAGGCGAUGGAUAACAGGUUGAUAUUCCUGUACCACCUAUAAUCGUUUUAAUCGAUGGGGGGACGCAGUAGGAUAGGCGAAGCGUGCGAUUGGAUUGCACGUCUAAGCAGUAAGGCUGAGUAUUAGGCAAAUCCGGUACUCGUUAAGGCUGAGC
rnacentral:rRNA from 1 species